GUGUUGUACCACGUACGAUUCGUUAUUUUCACGCGCCCACACGAUCGUCGACGAUCGCGGAAACGGUGUAUGCGUUUCGUUCGACGUGACGUGAUACGAUUCGUCUUCUAUUCGCCUCCGCCGCCGCCGCCGUCGUCGUCGUCGUCGUUGUCGUUCUCGAUGUAUUACGCUGCUGCUGGACCAUUUUCGUCCGUUUCGUAUCGCGCUUCUUAGACUAUCCAGUUGUGAACUCGUCUCUCGUCUCUCUCUCUCUCUCUCUCCGUGAUGCCGUUGCACUGCGAAUGAGAUAAAACGUUUCGUUCGACGAACCGCCGCGUGGAAGAGGUAAGGGGAUAGAGAAAUCGGCACCGACGGGAGACCGUGAACGAUCGCGAGGACGAUGGACGUUGAUCCGCCACCACCGCCGCAAUUCGCUUCUAAGGACGAUGAGAUUCGGUAUUGGAUGGAACUUGCUCGUCAGAUAAACAGAAGAAAAGAAGACUUGGAGAGAGAAUUGGAAGAAUUUCAAGAAAACUCGCAAUUGUUGGAGAAGGAACUGGAAGCAUCUUUGGAGCAAGCGGAAAAGACUAACAGAGAACUUCGGCAACGGAACACGAGACUAGCCACGGAGGUGGAACAAUUAAGGACAAGACUGGAUCAACAGAGCACCGACUGCGCCGUAUUUCAAGGGAAGGCUCAAGAUUUACAGGCCAGACACGAUCAUUUACUCAAAUACAUACGGGAAUUGGAACAGAAGAACGAUGAUUUGGAAAGGGCUCACAGAAUAAACAGGGUGACUGAAGAAGAGAUAGAAGCCAAACUUAACUCCGCCAUUGAAAAGAAUGCUCUGUUAGAAUCGGAACUUGACGAGAAAGAGGCACUGAAAGUUAUAGUACAGAGGUUAAUGGACGAGAUCAGAGACUUGAAACAGGAGAUCCAAGUUCAAGAAAGGCAUCAACCGGAUAAUGAUAAAUUGGCCGACCGAGUUCGAAAUCACGUUGACAGUAACAAACUGCAAGUAGAAUUGGAAACGACGCACCCGAUUCCACCCGGUAGCCCGGUAGCGGCGAUAGUAUCGCAGUCGAUAUCGCCUCCGACGAAUAAUACGACGUCGUCGCCAUUAAAAAUUGGAAACAGAGUUGUCGGAGGUGUGACCGGAAAUGGGAACAACAACCAUAACAACAACCAGAACAACAAUAAUAAUAACCAGGUGAACCCACCUAUGGCGCCGUGUACAAGAAUAUUAGCCAUGAACAUGAUCGGCGAUCUGAUGAGAAAAGUUGGCCUUGAGAGAUGGGUCUGCAUGGACUGUAGGAGGGUAAAAUGCUCUUGUGGGAAAAAUACAUUUUCCACCACCGCUCCACGUCCACCGAUUUAUCGUCCGUCCAGAUGCACCCAUGUACCACCAACACCACCACUAGUUGUAUACGGCAACGACGUAGAUCAACCAAUUGCUGAUCCGAGUGCUGAUCAGUUUUCGUACAGAUCUUUCAGGCCUUGGAGAACAAGUUGAACACGUGUCAAAAUCCGUCUCGAGAGGAUCAAGCAGUCCGUGAUCUCUACAGGACUAGACGGCACGUUCGAGGUUUUGCCUCUGGCAACAGCAACCACAUUCGAUUGUAAACAACGGGUAAUAUUCCGACAAUAGAUUUUUAUGCGUUCCGCCGCGUGUACGUUUACUACGUUUUCAAUCUGAACAACGAUUUUUUAAUUUACUACGUCUCACGAUAGGAUCGAUGGUUGUCACAGAUAAUCGAAAUUAUUUAUUAUUUAUCUUUAAUUUAAUUCCUUUCUCUUCGCGCUCGCGAUUUCCUUCAGGGAAAUUACUUGUUGUCUCUUUUCUUUUCUCUUACGUUUUAGAAUUGUACUUGGUACUUGGCUUUUUAAGAGCCAAUGAUAAUAAUAGCUUGUAAAUAAAGUAUGCAGAGAGACUGUUGUUGUAAGUAUCCAGUAGCAGUGAAUCGUAACGCCGACAAUGAGGCGAUGAUUAUAUAGGUGAUGUGUAGGUGAUUCGCCGCGAACGACGGCCCAGAGUCAACCAGAUUACCGAGUUCUCCCGUUUUCACGUGCCCCGUGUAUAGUUUUAUUACAACUAAAGUUCAAUCGCGUCGUUCGCACGAAUCGUAUUGUGAUGCUUAGUGCGAAUCUAGCUUCUAUGCGCGAUACGUUAGAUAUUUAUACGUAUACGAUGAUGUACAUGUCUAUUUUUAAUAACAAAAUAAUAUUGCCUCGUGAAACAGUUUGAUUUUUUUACUUUGACAUAUAUAAAAACUCAAUUCGAUUACUAACUAUUACUACUACUACUACUACUAGUUCCACUUAGUUCGAUAUAAACUGUUUUUGUGCCACUGCAUAAUUCUGUAUAUGUAGCUUCAGACUUCCAGGAAAAGAAAAUCAAUUACGCGCGACAUAGAAAAAUAUAUUAGCCUCGCAUCGAUUCGAGGCACCGCCACGAAAAAUUCGGAGAGACUUAAAUCUCAGUUGCUUGCUCUACCAAUCACACGCGCGCGCGAUGAGUAAAAGAAGAACCUAAACUUUGAUGCACAGACCGUUUUCUGCUGCUGCUGCUGCUACUGCUGCUCGAUCGGCUGAUUACGAAAGUGGGAGCUUUAGAAAAUGUGAUUAAAAUUCAAAUAACAGCAAUGUAGCAUUCGUCAAGUAUUUCUAAUGUAUGGAUUUGUAAAAGUAAAUGAAACUAUUUGUAAAAUAAAGAUAUAAUGUAAACUAC